rnacentral:rRNA from 1 species
UACGUAGGGUGCGAGCGUUGUCCGGAAUUAUUGGGCGUAAAGAGCUCGUAGGCGGCUUGUCGCGUCGGAUGUGAAAGCCCGGGGCUUAACUCCGGGUCUGCAUUCGAUACGGGCAGGCUAGAGUUCGGUAGGGGAGAUCGGAAUUCCUGGUGUAGCGGUGAAAUGCGCAGAUAUCAGGAGGAACACCGGUGGCGAAGGCGGAUCUCUGGACAGUUCCUGACGCUGAGGCACGAAGGCCAGGGGAGCAAACGGG